rnacentral:rRNA from 1 species
UACGUAGGGUGCAAGCGUUAAUCGGAAUUACUGGGCGUAAAGCGUGCGCAGGCGGUUUUGUAAGUUUGUCGUGAAAGCCCCGGGCUCAACCUGGGAAUGGCGAUGAAGACUGCAAGGCUUGAAUCUGGCAGAGGGGGGUAGAAUUCCACGUGUAGCAGUGAAAUGCGUAGAGAUGUGGAGGAACACCGAUGGCGAAGGCAGCCCCCUGGGUCAAGAUUGACGCUCAUGCACGAAAUCGUGGGGAGCAAACAGG